UCGCCCCCGAGGCACCGCUUGCGACACCGGGGCAGAUCCGGCUGGGCACAUCCUGUCCUCUCCCAGCAGAGCUGCAGGAGCCAGCAGCGUCUGUCUGUCUGUCUGUCCGUGCGGGGCUCGGUGUGCUCGGACAGCCAUGGGCACGGCACUCGUGGCCAUCCUGGGGCUGGCAGCGCUGCUGCCCGCGGACGCGCUGCCCUGCGGAGCGCAGCGCCCGGACAGCUCCACGGCAGCCAAGCUGCCGGGGACCUGGCUGUACGUGGCAGGGGCUGCCCAGUUCCCCCAGCACCGCGUGGAGAUGCUGCUCAUCGACCACGCCUUGCUGCGCUUGGAGCCCGGGCCCGGCGGGCAGGAGCUGCUCAUCAGCCACUACGUGGCCGUGGGGGACCAAUGUUUUACCCACAACCUGACCUACCUGGAAGUCACCGCCGGUAACGCCACGCUGGUGAAGCACGCCAGGAACCUGAGCAUCAGCACAGCAGACCGGGAGGAAUUCGAGCAGCACGCUGAGUGCCUGGGGCUGAGGGCGGAGCAGAUCGUGUACGCGCCGUGGAAAACGGAGGUGUGUCAAGUGAAAGCAGCUGAAGGCAGCAAGAGCCCACAGCCAGAGCCCGUGGAUGCAGCCACAGCAUCUCCUGCUCCAGGCACCCCCUGGCCUGGGAGUGCAGGGAACUGACCCCACGCAGGGCAAUAAACUUUUCCUUCAAAUUAGAUACA
rnacentral:lncRNA from 1 species